rnacentral:rRNA from 1 species
GACGGAGGAUGCAAGCGUUAUCCGGAAUUAUUGGGCGUAAAGCGUCCGCAGGUGGCAGUUCAAGUCUGCUGUCAAAGACCGGGGCUUAACUUCGGAAAGGCAGUGGAAACUGAACAGCUAGAGUAUGGUAGGGGCAGAGGGAAUUCCUGGUGUAGCGGUGAAAUGCGUAGAGAUCAGGAAGAACAUCGGUGGCGAAGGCGCUCUGCUGGACCAUAACUGACACUGAGGGACGAAAGCUAGGGGAGCGAAAGGG